rnacentral:rRNA from 1 species
AUUGAACGCUGGCGGCAUGCCUUACACAUGCAAGUCGAACGGCAGCACGGGUGCUUGCACCUGGUGGCGAGUGGCGAACGGGUGUGUAAUACAUCGGAACGUACCUUAUCGUGGGGGAUAACGCAGCGAAAGUUGCGCUAAUACCGCAUACGCCCUGAGGGGGAAAGCGGGGGACCGUAAGGCCUCGCGCGAUUAGAGCGGCCGAUGUCUGAUUAGCUUGUUGGUGAGGUAAAAGCUCACCAAGGCGAUGAUCAGUAGCUGGUCUGAGAGGACGGUCCGCCACACGAGGACUGAGACACGGCCCAGACUCCUACGGGAGGCAGCAGUGGGGAAUUUUGGACAAUGGGGGCAACCCUGAUCCAGCAAUGCCGCGUGAGUGAAGAAGGCCUUCGGGCUGUAAAGCUCUUUUGUCAGGGAAGAAACAGCAGCUCUAACACAGUCUGCGAAUGACGGUACCUGAAGAAUAAGCACCGGCUAACUACGUGCCAGCCGCCGCCGUAA